AGAGGUUAAGAGCACUGACUGUU
rnacentral:piRNA from 1 species